rnacentral:lncRNA from 1 species
AAAAACAAAACAAAACAAAACAACAACAACAACAACAACACUGUUCAAGCAAAGAUGGAGGUCAUGAGAAACCCUGGGGGUUUUUGUAACUCAAGCUCUUUGAAAAUCAGAAUUGUCUUCCCUUCUUGCCACAAGGGGUAACAAUGGGGGAUGCCUGAGGGAAAAAGAUGAGUGACCGGCAGGAUGUGUGGUUGCUCCUGUGUGUGAUCAUUUGACAGCCUAUCAGCUUCAUUGUGGGAUGACUAUGAGAAAUUAAGAGAAAAACCUUACAAACGACGUUGUUCAGCUUGAUUUGCAGACAAACUUGUUUUGCAAUUUAUGUUUAGUUUCAUUAGCACCGAAACCUUCCUGUUGCUGUUUUCGUUUGUACAUUGUAAAGUUUGUAUUUAUUCUUGUUCAUUUCAUGCAUGAAUAAUACAUAUUUACAUCAUCUCCAAUCCAUGCUACUCCUUCAGUCUCCUUUCACGUUUACUCCCGACUUCAUGCCUUCCUCUUUUUCUUCCUCUCCCCUCUUCCUUUUCAUCCUCCCCAUCUUCCUCACUCCUUCCUCCUCCUCUUUCCUUCCUCCUCAUCUCCUCUUUCUCCCAGUUUUUCUCCAUUAACCCACUAAGUUCAAUUAGGGAUACCCAUUGUGCACAGUUAUAGGAUACAAUCUCCUGGAGAGUGGGAGGAACCCUAAUGUGAACAAUGGCCCUGAAGAAAACGGACUCCCUUCUUCUAUUGGUUAACUGCCAAUAACUUUAGCUAGGACAUGGUAUAAGCUACCUUCCAAAUACUUACAUGUACACCCAUAGAUUGGUGCAAGACAUGUUUCUCAUCAAAGAGGAGGCUUUAUGCAAAUGUGACAGUUAAGAUAGAGACGUAUACCUGCCCAAGGUGCUGAGAAUAACUGACUGUAAAGUACUGGACCUAAAUAAGACAUGUCAGACUUGUUCACUCUCCCACCAAGUCUCAGAGAACUUUAUAGAAGAGGAAAGGAAAUUCUUCACGAGCCAGGGUUCUGUGAAGUUUGUUGCC